GUUUGUCUUUCUCUUUGUCUGGUUGUGUUGGUAGGGCCAGAAGAGGGCUUGGGCCCCCUGAAGCUGGAGUUGUUACAUACAGGCAGUUGUGAACUGCUUGACUGACAAUGGAUACAGAGAUUUGAGCUAGCAUGCUGAAAGGACUACAAGGUGCUGAGCCACCUCUUCAAAGCCAACACUUUUUAAAGUGUCAAAACACUGCACAGCCUGAGCUGACAUCACAGGAGAGUGAGCAAGCAUGCCAUGAACUUCUUAGUAAGUUCCCUGUAGCUUUCUCCACAUUGCCUUUGUAACAGUUUACAUACCUCUGUCUGCAGGAGCCUGCUUUGCAGUCUCCCUGGAGAAAACACCAACUCUGCUCUGGCUUUGGUCGUGGCAACAUGUGAAGAGGGUAUGGGUGGGUGAGGGUAAAUGGCCUCAUUCCUGGUGUAGGUAGAGACAGAGUCCUCUUGUGAAAUUCCACCUGGGUGUAAAAUGCCAUAGACCUGGAGCAAAUCUGUGUUUGCUUUAACUCCCCUAGUGCCUCUGAGCUACAGAAGUGAUGUCUUCCCUAAGAGCUUGCCCAUUGUUCCUGAGUUUGUUCUGUGAACUUAAAGGAAGAGACAUGUUUUCCUAAAGCCUGCACCAGCAGAGAUGGAGAAAUUGUUUGAAGUUACAGUUUCUUACUUGACAGGUUAACAUCCAGUUUUGUUUACUGACUAGCCUUGUAAUGCCUUGGGUUUGACAUCUCAAUUACAGUUCAACAGAAUACCUUCAACUCAAACACUGCCUCCUUGGCGCAGGCCAGCCAGCUAGAGGGCUAGAGAAGACAGGCCCCACUGUUAGGUUUCAUUCGCUCAGUCAUUCAUUCAUACAUUCUUUUAAAAACGUUUAUCUAAUAUCAUGUAUAACAAGCUUAUAGUGGAAAAAAAUAAACUUUUAUAAUACAAGCAACUAGGUCGCCAAUUCUAAUAUUUCUAUUUACAGUCUUUUUAAAAAUUUUUAAUUUAUGAGCGAGAGUGUGAGUGUGCAUGCACAUGUGUGCAUAUGCAUGUGUGAACCAGAGAUCAACUUUAAAUGUCUUUGCUUGGGAGCCAUCUUGUCUUUGUACUCAGAGUCUCUCUGGGAACUGGGGCUCCCCAUUUACUCUAGGCUUGCUGGCCAGUGAACCCUAGGGAUCUGCUUGUUUUUCUCUCCAGGGCAGAGAUUACAAGUGUGCUGCCACGACCUGCUUUUGAUCUGGGUGCUGCCAUUCAAAUCAGGACUUCAUGCACGCACAGCAAGCACUUCAUAGGGUGUGCUGCCUUCCCAGCUCCUCCUGUAAUGUUACAAAAAUCUAUGUCACAGGGUUAGGCUUAGGAGCUAGGGUUUAGGGUUAGGAGUAAGGGGUUAGGGUUAGGGUUAUAUAUGCAGAGAGUCAUAUAUAUCAUAUAUAAUCUCUAUUUGAACAUAGUCGAUAUUUGUUAAUUCAGAAACUACUUUUACACAUUUUCCUUAUAUCAGCACUGAAAUAGACAUAGUCUCUAAGCGGAAUGCUCUUACUCUGAAUGGCCUCUCUUACAUUUAGUAGGAACACCACUGAUAACCUUUUGUUGUGGUAAUAUGGUAGACUCUCCAGCUAGAGCUUCCCCCUAACCCAUCUUGAUUCAGGGAUUCCAUUUGGGUAGGUUUCAGUGAGCAAGCAAUUUCUCCAGGAUAGAAGGCAGAGCAUGUAUCAGCCUGUGCGCAGGAGGUUAAUAUACUAGGGGCAUGGCAGGCACAGUGUCUUUCAGAAGAGCAGGGUGUUGGGAUCUGAUGCAGGAGCACUCAAGGGUAGAGACGUUGUCCCCUCUGAGGACUGCAAUUGGUUCCUGGAAAUAGGCAGCCUUGAACGAUUUGAAGUGGGGAGUCUGACGUUUAUGUUGUUCCUUUUGUUUUGCUUUUGAUCCCCCCAACCCAUGCAUCUCAGGUUGGCCUCAAACCUCAUAAUGGAGGAUGAUCUUGAAUCUCUGAUCCUUUUGACCUGACUGACCUGUGCUGAGAUAGUGGGUGUGCAGCAUCACACCCUACCCAUUUGAUGGGAACUGAACCAAGAGUACAGGCUGACCAGGCACUCUACUAGCUGAGUCAUAGUCUUUCUGGUGACCUUAGUUAGUAAGGGUCGAAGGGCAAACUAGACAACUGUUAAAUAGUCUGUUUGUUCACACCAUCAGACUUCUCUUUAAAUUUUUAAAAUUGUGUUUAUGCACAUGGGUCAUAUGCCUACAUACCGUUUUAUGCAGUGCCCGUGGAAUACCCUGGACCGGAUUACCUACAGUUGUGAGCUGUCAUGUGAGUGCUGGCAAAUGAACGUGGGUCCUCUGGAGGAAGAGCCAAUGAUCUCAACCAGGGAGCCAUCUCUCUGCCCCCUUCUCCUUACCUUCCUGCAGGAGUGUUUUAUACUGUCUUCUCGACACAGUCCCACAGGAUAAGUACAGUAAUUACUGUUUAUAUCACAGAAGAGAAAAUAAUUUCCAAAUCUGCCUUAAGUGAGGCAAAGUCACGUUAGAAGACAUACUUUUCCCCUUUCUUAUACUUUUCAUGCAAGACCAAUUUCCUGUACACGAAUCAUAUAAGUAGUUACAGUAACAAUCACUGCACUUUUUCUGAAGACAUCUAAUAAAUAAGGUUAGCGUUUUAGUGUUCAUUGCGGCUUUGGUGCUAGGAUAGUUCUUGGAGCCAUAUUCAAAGGAAGUGUGAACUGGAGUGAAGUUGCUGUGAAGGAUGCUUCUGAUGAUAACCUCACUUCGAAAUUAUGUUCUGCUGCUCCCAAGGAAAAUUCAGCUGAAUUAGCUAGCCUCUUGCAACAGAAAAAACAAACAAACAAAAAAAUUAGAGCAAGAAGCAUUUGCACUGAGGCUCCAGGGUCUUGAGGCUGCGGUGGGUCCCAAGUGUCUUAGUGUUUAUUUGACAUGAAGGUUACAGCCCCAGAGAGAUGAGUUUACUACUUAGGAUUCUCAUUUCAUUAGCAACAUUUCAUUAGAAACAGUCUUUGACAGUUUCCUUUUGGUGUCUGUGCAUGUGGUACCUGUGUCUCUGUGUGUGUCUGUGCAUGUGUGCGCAUGUGCAGGCACACACAGACAUUCAUGCAUGGCUCACAUUUGUGUGGAGAUGCAUGUGUGUGCAGAGCAGAGAAGAACUUUGAGUGUCAUUCCUUAGGCACUAUCCAUCUUUUAAAAAUUAUUUAUUUGUUCUGCGUACGUGUGCAUGCUUUGACACUGUGGUAGUCACAGCACAACUUCAGAGUCAGCUCUCUGCUAAUCCCCCUUGAUGGGGUCUGGGAAUUGAGCUCUGGUCAUCAGGCUUCCGAGGUAAGUGCCUUUAACCUGCUGAGCACUCUAUCCAGCUCCCUUUCAAAUCAUUUUCAGGCACACCUCCCUCUGACCCAGUACUCAGCAGCUAAGCCAGGAUUGAUUGUUGGGUGACUAGGCUCACGGAGCUGCCUUCCUUCCUAUGGGACUACAGAUCUGGGACUGACAGACACCAUGACUGUUUAUGUUCAGUGUGUAUUCUAGGGAUCAAACUCAGGUUCUCAUGCUUGAAUAGCAACUCCUCACACUGAACCAUAUUCUCAGCUCUUCCUUCAAUUUUGCAGUUCUGGGACUUGAACACAAGUCCUCAUGAAGGUUAGCUAAGUAUGUCCUUCAUGAAUGAGCAACACCCAUAGGCACAGUAAUUCUUUCAUUACACCUUCCAGGUACUUGUGAAGUCAGGAACAAGGCAGAAAACACUUGCAGCAGUGGUCUUGGAAGACACAAGCCCUCAGUCUUCAUUUUCUAAGCUGUAGAUUGACAUGGUAGUGCUGACUUUUUAGGGUUGUCAUGAGAAUUAACCAAGGCAAUGUGUUGUUCCUGCCAUGUAACGAUCUUGUGGUAGAACUCCUUUAUGUAAGGACUUGGUUGUUUUAUUUCAUUUUAUUCUCUCUCUGUGUGUGCAUGUAUUUGUACGUAUAUGUUUACGUGCUACAUGUGAAUAUGUAUGUCUAUGUAUGGUGUGUGUAUAUGUAAAUAAUCUAUGUUAAUGGUGUAUGUGAAAUUGUGUGUCUGCAUGUUCAUGAUGUGUAUAUAUGUCUGCAUUUGUGCAUGAUGUGUGUGUUUGUAUAUGUGUGUGAUGUGUGUGCCUGUGUAUGGUUUAUGUGUAUGAUAUGUGUAUGUGCAUAAUGUGUGCUUGUGUGUGUCUCUAUGGUGUGUUUAUAUGCAUAUGGUGUGUGCAUGUUGUGUGUGAGUGUGUGGUGUUUGUAUGGUAUGUGCAUACUGCAUUGAGGCCACUUGUGUGUGCAUGAUAUAUAUGUGGGGUGUGUGUAUAGUAUGUGUGUAGGACAUGUAUGGUAUGUGGUUUUGUAUGAUUUAUGUGUGCACGUAGCGGGGUGCACAUGCAGAGAUUGGGAGGAGAUCCUCCCGGUACCAGUUCUCUCCUUUUACAUGGGUUCCUGGAACUGAACUCAGAUUUCAAGGCAAGGGAUUUAUUUACCUUUCAAGCCUUCUCUGGCCCUCUCUAUAAGUACAUUUUAAAUGGAGGGUUUUCCAAAUUACGGUUUUGGGUUUUUCCCCUUUGUUUUUCUUAUCUUUUUGUAGGGGAAUUUGGUGGGGAAAAUUCAGUAGCUUUCUUGUUUUUUAACUUUUCUAAACAUCCAUAUUGUUCUUCAGAUAUUGCCAUAGGCUGAAUGGGCUUCAGGACUUGUUCCAUUUGAUGAGGUUUUGAGCACAAGAUGUGUUUUCAGUUACUCCUGUGGAAGGCUCUUCUGAAUACUUUGAAGACUGUGGGAUUGAACUCUUGCUUUGAUAGAUUUUUUUUUAUUUUUGAGGUAGAUUUUGGCAUACAACAAUCUCCUUUGCCUGGAAGAUUCUGUGAUCUCUACAUAGUUUUCUUACAUCUGGUAUAGUAAUACUAAUAUUAGUCACUGGAAAUGACAUCAGGUGAAUAAUGUCUUUAAAGUGUGAAAUGUUUCUGCUCUCUUCAUUCCCUCCAGGAUGUUCACAUUGGGUGUGACAGAGUGUUCUACCUGGCAUGCAAGAAUGGCAUGGUGCAACUGCAUUACAAAAAUGAACGGGGCUGGGGAUUUAGCUCAGUGCUAGAGCGCUUACCCAGAAAGCGCAAGGCCCUGGGUUCGGUCCCCAGCUCCGAAAAAAAAAGAACCAAAAAAAAAAUGAACAAAUAAAGUGUUUGUUCAUUUAGUUAAUCAGAGAUUUCUUAAACUGUCACUUCAUAGAGCAAAGAGGUUAUGGCCGGAAGAUCUGAGUAAUGAAUGGUACCAUUUUUUGUUGUUGUUGUUGUUGUUGUUGUUGUGGUUGUGGUUGUUGCUCUGUGUGUUUUUGGUGUCAGGGGAAGGCUGUUGUGUUCUCACUGGGGAAGAGGGUGUUAUCUAGAACUGAGUUAGAUAGCAUGACGAAGGUUUUUGUUGAUGAGGAAUUUCAUUUGGGUUGGAAGGACCACAGGAAUGGGAACUGAGUGUGAGUGGUAGGAGAGCUUGCCCUAGUCUGGGCUGCAUCCUGGGAGAGGGAUGGUAGCAUGGAAGUUGCUUCAGAAAAGGAUGGAAACAUUGUAUCUGUAGCCAGGAAGCAGAGAAAGAUGGGUGUUGUUUCUAAGCUUUCUUUGUUCUUUAUAUGCAGUGCAAGCCUGAGCCCAGGGAAUGGUGGUGUCUAUAUUUAGGGUGGGUCUUCCCUCCUUAAUUAAUCUAAUCAAGUUACUUUAUCAGAGACAUGCCUAGUGACUGUUUCCUGGAUGGUUGUAGAUGGCGUCAGAUUGACAGCUAAUAGUAUGCAUCACAUCUGGUCCCUGGAUGCUUUAACAUGGAAUGGUGGGUGUUGAGUUGAUGCAGAGGUGACAGUUGUUGAUCAAGAACUUUGGAUUUAGCUGGAGCUUUUAAUUUAUGAAGCUAGAGUCCACAGAAACGGUACGUGUGUAAUUUACCACAUGUCAGUGAAGACAGAGAGAAUAGAGAAUAACUAGAUAUAUGAAAAUGGGUUGAAGAAAACUGCUUAGGUGUCCUUGAAGACUACAUAUGAAGGAGGAUACACUAUGCCAUUGUGAAAGCAUUAGGCAUUCUCUUAACUCUGCAGUACAGGGGUGAAUUUGGAAUACCCCAAGCACAUCAAUGUCCCCAUGGGAAUGGGGAAAAAGUAACAUACAAAGUGGUGGUUGGUGUUCACACCAAACAUCGGAGGCCAGAAUCAGUGGCUUUACACCUCCAGAGAAUGUGUCCUUAAAGAAGACUGAGCAUUGAACUUUGUCCCCCAGGAAGGAAUCACCUCAUUUCUUAUUUUGUUAUCAUUUUGGUAAGGCUGAAUAGACAAAUCCCUUGUUGUAAAGAUGUCAUUCUGCUGGUUGAUGUUUUACCCUUGUUGGAUGGUAUGUUUGAGAAGCCUUCUGGUUUUCUGUCUGAAUAGGAAACUGGAGACCUUACAGCUGGGCAACUCUGACCUGAUCCUCUUUGUACUGCUCCCCACCCUGUGGAGAGCUCCUCUCCUAGCUGGCACUCUCUCUUUCUCUUUGGGGAGGUUGGGAGGCCAUGACUCUUGUACAGGUUUUGGCAGUGCAACUGAGGGCUUACCUUCAGAACCGGUGUGGAGGACUCUUGGAAAACUUGUCUCUGGGAAUGUGACGGCCUUUCCCUUUGAAAAAGAGUCAGACAGAGGGGGUCUCUAAGGAGGGGCUCUUCAGAGCCUAUGAAGUGGCCUCUUAGCGAUUCUGUGUGGAAGUCUGUAACCCUGACAAGGGGUUCAUGUGUGGCAGAUCUCAAGCAGCUCAACUCUUCCGGAAUGUACUUUGGGAUCAUAAACUAUAUUAAAAGGAAGUUUUUGUUGUUUUCUCCUCUGUUAUUUGCCUCUUUUAGUGGGGAUGAGGAAAUUAAAAACUUGCCAUCUGAAGUGAGUGCUUCGCCAAAAGGUGACACAGAAAAGACAUAGAGCAAAUAAGGCACUACAUGUGCACAUCUCCAGAUUAAAAGUCAGGCUCUCCCAUCACAGCCUCCUCACUUCUUCCCAGACUUCCUCCCCACUGCAUUGUAAAGAGAUUGAUCAGGAAAGGGAGUUUAGCUGUGAAAUCAGUAAGGAUGCCUUUUGAUCAGCUGCUUCCUGACUGAGUGUUGCCUGCAGUAGGCAAUGGGUGGAUGCAUAGAUGGAUGGAUGCAUGUCUUGCUGGAUGCACGGAUGUUGGAUUCAUGGAUGGAUGGAUGCAUGCAUGGCUGGCUGGCUGGAUGCAUGCUGGAUGCAUGCAUGGCUGGCUGGCUGGAUGCAUGCUGGAUGGAUGCAUGGCUGGCUGGCUGGAUGCAUGCUGGCUGGAUGCAUAGAUGGAUGGAUGGAUGCAUGCAUAGAUGGAUGGAUGCAUGGCUUGCUGGAUGCAUGCUGGAUGGAUGCAUAGAUGGAUGGAUGGAUGGAUGGAUAGAUGGAUGCAUAGAUAGAUGGAUGCAUGGAUGUUGGAUGCAUGGAUGGAUAGAUGGAUGCAUAGAUGGAUGGAUGCAUGGCUUGCUGGAUGCAUGGAUGGUUGGAUGCAUGGAUGGAUGGAUGGAUGCAUAGAUGGAUGGAUGCAUGGGUGGGUGCAUGCAUGGAUGGUAAUAUGAUAUAUGGAUGUGAAAGCUGUUCAGACACAAAAUAAAAACUGAAGGUAUAGGAAUGAGCAAGUCAAUUUUGUUCCUUGUCCAGAACUCUCAAAAGCGUUUGGACUGGAGAAGCUUACAACCUUACCACUUUUAAAUACACUGUUUUAAUGUUAUUUGUUGAGAAUUUCAUACAUUGGUACAGUAUAUUUCAGUAUAUCCACUUCACCCCCUGUAUUUGUUGUAAUAAUCCCUUGAAUACAGAGAAGCCUACUCAUGAGUGAGGGGCCACCACUGCAGCAUGGUCCACUCACUAGGGACCAUACCCCUAAAGAAAACCCUCCCCUAGCAGUUCUCAAGUGACAGAAUCUUCUCAGCUGCAGACAGGGGCUUCAGUGCCCUACCACAUCCGUGCUGGAAUGUUGAGUGGUUUGCUCUUCUGCUGGACACCAACUGCACUGAGUUUGUGAGUUCAACGACCAUAUCAUGAGAACAUGUCACUGUUUUGAUCCAACUCCUUCCGACCUUUGGCUCUUAAACUCUUUCCACCUCUUUUCUUUCCAAUAUUCCCUGAGCCUUGAGGGAACUUGAUACGGUGGGAGCUUCUGUGACUGAGCUCUCCACAGAGAGUUCAUUCUCAAUACUCGGACUAGUUAUGAAUGUGUAUUAACUACCAUCCACUGUAUGAAGAUGCUCCCCCAAUGACCACCCAGAGCUGUGUUAACCUAUGAGCUUGUAACUGGUAUAGUUUGAUACUAUAUAUCCAUUUAAGAAAAUAGUAGUUAUGGUUCACUCCCAGGGCUUAUGAGCCUCUCUGCCAUGGUUUCCUGACCAGAUUUACAAUGCCAGGCAAAAGUUUCCUCUUGUAGUGCAGACCUUAAAUCUACCCAGAAAAUGAUUGGUAAUCCUCAUUACAUUCCUGCCAUUUAUGGUGCACCCAUGGGUACAUCUUGCCAGAGCUUUUGUUAUGUAGCCCUGAGUAGUCACAGUGGAGUGAGAAUAGUCUGCAUAGCAUCUUAUAGCAUCAUAAAGGGUAGCUAGCAGGGGUGGAAGCUUCCUGCUAAGUACUGUGCAGGCAGGUCUGUGUGAUUUCUUCAAGUUCUUUGACCUACUUGUGUGGUGUCAUCAGCUAUAGGAUCUUACCAUCACAUUCUGAUGGGUAGCCCUGAGCAAUGAGAAUUGACAAUUCUGGUAUCAUCUCUGUGACAUCCUCGACAACAACUUGAGAGCAAGGUGUCCUACAUCUAGCUCUGGACUUUUUGAGAACUUGUAGCCAAUGGAAGGAAAAUUACCCACCUUGUAACGUUCGUUGUAAGUUGGCAAGUAGCUUUUCAUAUGGAUUUUGUAUUUUAAUGUUCGUGGACGUUUUACCUACUUGUAUGUCUGUGUGAGGCUGUCAGAAGUCCUGGAACUGAAGUUACAAGCAGGGGUGAGUUACCAUGGGUGAGUAGGUGCUGGGAAUUGAACCCAGGACCUCUGGAAGAGCAGCCUGUGCCCUUAACUGUCCGUCUCUCUGGCCCUUCAUAUGGCUUUUUCAAAUAUCCUUAGUGUUAGUUCUUCUUCAUCCUCUUCCCUGCAAUCCUAAAGAUUUUAAACCAGUGUUUCAUUUAUGCAUUAUUUAACUAUUGAUCUAAAUUGGUAGAAAGAUUUAAAAAAUAACACAUGGUUUACAAAAUUAUAUUUGUAAUUUGAAGAGGGUAUUCUAAAGGAGAUUAUGUUCAAAACCAACAUGGGGAAAUCCUAAAAAGGAUCUGGCCUCUGCCCCCUUGUUGGAACACUUUACCUGUGUUCUGAUUUUCUUCUUUUGUUUAUUUCUUUGUUUAAGGGUGUCUGCAAUUCCUUUUUGUCUACAGCUGAACACUUUCCAGGCUGUUCUGGCAUCCAAUGAAUGUGAUUCCUCUGCCCUCUUUCUCUAUCCUCCCAAUGGUCUUCAGUUUUUGGAACUCACCCCAAAGAAUCCUACAGUGUCCAGCUGCAGCUUCCUGCUAAGGUGGGAUUCUGCCAAGGGGAAGCAGAUGCCGUGAAGAGAAAAGCCCUGUAUUUCAGCCUGACUAACAGUGAGCAGUCGGUGAAGAAUCUCUACAAGAUAUGGAGACUUCGAUGAUUUUAAUCUGGAGGAUGCGCUGAAAGAAACUUCCUCAGUAAAGCAUGACUCAAACAAACAAGUCCACCAAGCAAACACAAGUGGUCGGCCAUGCACCACACUGACAAUCUUGCCUUCAGAAAAGUGCACGCAUAUGAGACUAGCUGUACCUCCAUCUACCUGUUUGUUCUGUUGUGCAAGGCUUGUGUCGUUUUGUCAUACGUGUGUCAUCUUCCUUUUUCAUUUAGAAAAUUUCAUAAUUUUCAUUAUGUUGAAACCACAAGAGAACGUGCAUCUGCCUUCGCCUUUUUUCUGCUAUACAAAAAGAGAACUCCGACCCAUUUCCUUCCUCUCACUGUUUUGUUUUGAGACAGGGUCUCUUGAUUUAGCCCGAGUUGUCCUGAAAUUCUCUGUACCGACAAGACCGGCUUUGACUUGGGUUCAGUACUAGAGCAACAGUGACUUUUGGCCACUGAUGUGCAUUUCUAGCUUCAGAACCCAUGACUUUUUAUGAUUCUUCAGUGUGAUCCCCACAAUGGCCUCGGGGACCUAUACCGAGACCAUUCUCACGAUGUGACUUCUGUAAACCAUAAAGCAGCCACUGUGUUUUACAAUCUGCUUCCUUUUGUCCUCCCUUCUCCCUUCAGAGAGCCACUUUAGCACCACGACUAGAAGGACAGGAACAACCAGAGCUCCAUCAAAUCCAGCAGGUAACCAGGUGUGGGAAGUGAGGAAGGCCAGACUCACCUGAGAAGGGACACAAGUUUGAAUUUGUUGGGACUCCAUCUGGGACAGGGUCAAAAGGAGCCGUGUAGAAUUUUUAGCUGCACAUAUGAAAAGUUAGCAAAGGCACCCAUGUGAAUGUUAGAUUUAAUUCAACAGAAUCCCAUCUGGUUGGUCACUGUGCCUUACGUGAAAGCCAUGCGUUUCCACUUCCUUAUUGCUUUGGGUGACGAUGGCUGCCAGAAUCCAGGUACAGGAGGCAGAAGGGGUGAGCUGAACUUGACUUAAGCCCCAGCCUAUCCCCAUAGCUCGCAGGUUAAACAUUCAUAGUCGAGCAGAGUUGGGCAACCUGAGGCCUAAGGAGAAGUCUUCAACGAAGAUAUUCAGACGUUUUCUUGAAAUUCUCUAAGUUUUUGAAGAUCUCGGGAGAGUUUGUGUAUGUGGGUCACAUCUAUAAAUACUUCUCAUCUGAGAACUUAGAACUAAAAACUGAUAUUAAUCUGAGGAAAAUAAAAAGCCAUAUGCAUUGACAUAUGUGGUGGGUUUUUAUGAGAAAUAACUGUGCUUAUAAGGUGAAAACAUAAUUUAGAGUAAUGAAUGACAUUAUUUUAUAGUUUUCUGUAAUGUCUGGCUUCAGUAGAAUGCAUCUGGAUUCUUUGUGUGUGUGUGUGUGUGUGUGCAUGCAUGUCUGUGUGUGUAUGUGUGUGUAUGUUUGUGUGUCUGUGUGUGGUAUGUGUGUGUGUGUGUGUGCAUGUCUGUGCGUAUAUAUGUGUGUGUGUGUUUGUGUGUAUGUGUGUGUAUGUGUGUGUCUCUGUGUGUGUGUGUCUGUGUGUAUGUGUGUAUGUGUGUGUGUGUGUGUGUGUGUGUAUGUGUAUGUGUGUGUGUGUGUUACUGUGAGACAGACCUAGGAAUCACUAUGUAGACCACACUUUACUAGACAGACCAGACUGGCCUCAAAUUCACAGAGAUCUAUCUACCUGCCUCUACCUCCCCACCCCCCGACCCCUGUGCUGGGACUACAGAUGUGUGUUACCACUCCUCCUGGAUUUUUAAUAUCUGCAUCUGGACUGAGCAGUUAUAAGUCCCUGAGGUUCUGUACAACAUGCGGAGAAAAUCCAGACUCAUGCAGAUGUGUAGGAGGAAAGGGGAAAGAACUCAAU
ensembl:lncRNA